UACGUAGGGGGCAAGCGUUGUCCGGAUUUAUUGGGCGUAAAGAGCUCGUAGGCGGCCUGUUGCGUCCGCUGUGAAAGCCCGGGGCUUAACCCCGGGUCUGCAGGUGGAUACGGGCAGGCUAGAGGUAGGUAGGGGAGAAUGGAAUUCCCGGUGUAGCGGUGAAAUGCGCAGAUAUCGGGAGGACACCGGUGGCGAAGGCAGAUCUCUGGGCC
rnacentral:rRNA from 1 species